rnacentral:lncRNA from 1 species
GGGAAAAGACGGUAGGAUAUGUACAUCUCUGCACGUAACUGAGUAAAUCAGAAAGUGGUGGGAGCAAUGGUUAUUCGUUGAGGGCACCUAUUUUGCCAUCAGUCCCAGUUGUGGGUUCCUGGACUCUGAAUGAGGUGACUCCUGUUCCUGUCCUGCCUCUGAUCCCAUCUGGGAUAUUCCCCAAAUCUCCUCCUACCUCAGUUUCCCUCUGUUGUCAGACAGAUAAAUAUUGUUUCCUCCCUUUGUAAAGCUCCCCAUGAAAUGCUGCUAAGACAGAGCAAGGUGUGGUGUUUUUAUGGCUGCUCUUUGCCUUGGGUUUGCAGAGGAAGCCUGCUCUCACCCCAAGGCACGGUGACCUGCCAGCACCAGCAGGAGGGAGCAGCCCCAGGACUCCCUGCAGAGGUAGCACUUUGAAGCAAAGGGUGUUGCAAGUGCAUAAAUCCCUUCCUACUAUGUGCUUCCUUGCCCUGGUGGCAUUUAUGGCUUGUUGCUGUGUUUUAGGAGCAUUAGGGAAAAUACAGAUAGUCUGGCAUUUUAUUACUCAUAUUUCUCUGCUCUUAAUGACUGAAUGGAGCACGACUUGCUAAUGAACUAGGCUGAAAUGAAUGCAUUUGUGGCACUAAUUGAAAUAAACCCAAGGUCUGGCUUUUCAAAAGGAGUAAAACCUCUAGCACUCUCAAAAAAAGAAAAGAAAAGAAAAGAAAAGAAAAGAAAAGAAAAGAAAAGAAAAGCCUCUUUUACUGUCUUUAACCCCUGCUUGUUGUCUUUCAGUACAGCUGCAUUUGGAUGCAACAGAGCAAGGCAGAUUCUGCUUGCGGGAACUAGGGAUUCAUGGUGCAGGAUGCUGGGGACUGGGCUUGGUGUUGCUCCCUUCCUCAUCUAUAAAAGCAGCUCAUUAGGGGCAGUAGGGUUCUCAGGUAGCAGAGGGUUAUGUGGAGAUGGCCUGGGAGCACAUGGAUGGAGUCCCGUAAGCUGAGGGUGCAGAGAAGUGACGUGUGGAGGCACUGAAAAGUUCAAAGGGCUGUGUGGAAGGUAUUUGUGUGAUUUCCACACUUCGAUGAACAUGCCCUGCUACGGCCCAUGCUGAGACAGGAGGCAGCAGCACGUUGCAGACACCAGCAGAGCCAGGCAGCAGCAGGCUGGUGAGGGGAAGAACCACCCUGGGCUCCAAGAGGAUGAAAAAGUGUUCAAAUUAAGGCUUGCACUGAAGGUUUUUUUCAGCCCGUGGAUGAGGUCUGUAUGCCUGGUGUGUCUUGCAUUCCUUCUCAAGGUUCCCCCACCUCCUUCAGCAAUUUGGGAGUCCCGAAGCGCGCUCUGCACAUACUGCCUGUGCUUAACUGUGCUGGGUCUGGGACUUGUGCAGUGCCCCUUCUGGUGCUAUUCACUCAAUUCCUGUGAAUUCAGGAGGAAUGUGGGAAGGGAAACGAGCCCUUUCUUCUUCCUUCACUGAUCUCCUGACAAAGUUUCAUUCAUCUGGCCUGGAAGCAGUAGGGAUGGUGCAUGCCGGAGGCAACCACUCAGCCAGGGGGAUGAGGCAGAGCCCGGCACUUGCAAAGAGCCCAUUUGCUGGAAAUUGAUGAUCCAAAGUUGCAUGGGGAAUUUGUAUGAAUGGAAGGAAAGACAGCCAGUAAUUGGGAUCGGUGGGUGAAGUGUCAGCAAACAGAAGAAAGGGAUACUUCGGUGACAGUGAUAAAUGCUAGCAGCUUUUGGUCUCAUCUGGAGGAGCGAAUUGGAGCAAAGACUUCGUAAGAAAAGGAAGGAGUGAAAAGACAGCAACCUGAUGGAUGUUACAGUGGAAAAGUGCUCAGAAAACAAAAGUUCAGCAGAGCAUUUUUAGGGCAGUGAUCAGUGGCAAGCCACAGAGGUCCUUCCCCGAGGCUGAGAGGGUCACCGUUGGUUACAUCCCCAGAAAUAAGUCACCAGGCUGGAAGGGGGAUCUUCUCUACAGCCCUUCCCUUCCCACACUUGGUCAUUUU